CCUGCUGUGAGCUCGAUUGAGCUCCGUUACCAACUGUUACACCCCCCCCGCCAGUAGGGGAAGACCGUGCCUCUGCUCUCAGGUGACCGAUUCAAGUCCUGUCCUCCGGACUUCCGUUUGCGUUUGAUACGAUACACCAACGGACAAAGAAAGAAGAUUUUAUUUGCUUCGCCAAACGAUCUCACGAAAAAAUGACUCUGGUCCACAAGCAAGAAAGCAUUCCAGGACGGAGUGUGUGUCUGGAAGCCCUGUCUGUCAGUAGACAUCACUGCCUCCACCACCUGCAUAUGAGUCAACACCACACAGGACACCAGCCGGUCGCCCAGAGCUGGAUGGGUGUAUUCUAACGCAAGCUCGGCCUGCCACUUCAUCUUGGGACCCAGUUGAAGCAACUUUUCCUGACAAGCCCGGCGGUUCGACUGGAGGUACUGCCAUCCGUUGCAUGCUACGGCGAGUGGCAACCAAUGAUGUUCUAAAACUGUAUAUCCUGCGGGGCAGAAAAGGAAAGAAGGCCUUCCAGGACCUGACUAUCUGCAGGGUUAUAACAGGCAGGUGUUAUUUUAUUGUUCACAUCAGUAUUAUGCUUAGCUUGGCUAAUAAAAGGUUUUAAUUUGACUUGUAACGUUGCUUCAUUUUGACUUCUACUCUAGGGGUCUCCCAGAAAAACUUCCCAACGCUGACUGCAGUAGACACGGAGGACUUGAUUGGUGCUGAAGUUUGCCCAACACAGACUGUCAGCUGAGAAGGACUGAGCCUUCAAAACCACGGAGCUCUAUUUUUUUUUUUGCAGAAACAAGAGCUGUUGGCCAUCUUCUACACUGCUGCCAUCCUCCUGCCUCCUCCCCUCUGGCGGGCACUACAGAUCCCUGCACACAAAAACAACCAGACACAAGAACAGCUUUUUUCCCCACUGCCACUGUAACUGCUGAUAAGUGGGGUCAUCCCCACUUUGGCCAUUCACCUACACAUUACAUACAUUAUCAUUCCAAUAUGCAUUUAACACAAUACAUUUGCACUAUUACUUUGCAC